UACGAAGGGGGGCUAGCGUUGCUCGGAAUUACUGGGCGUAAAGAGCUCGUAGGCGGUUUGUCGCGUCUGCUGUGAAAACCUGAGGCUCAACCUCGGGCUUGCAGUGGGUACGGGCAGACUAGAGUGCGGUAGGGGUGACUGGAAUUCCUGGUGUAGCGGUGGAAUGCGCAGAUAUCAGGAGGAACACCGGCGGCGAAGGCGGCACUCUGGGCCGGUACUGACGCUGAGGAGCGAAAGCGUGGGUAGCAAACAGG
rnacentral:rRNA from 1 species